CUGUGUUAGGGAUUGAAACGGCAUCCUUUUUUAUUUUUUUUAAUAAAAAAGAUAUAGUGGAAAGCCCGACCUUUU
rnacentral:sRNA from 1 species